rnacentral:misc_RNA from 1 species
UUGUUAAGUUGAUGGCUAUAUAAAUUUCAAGACAAGACAGAUUUUCCCAACCGGUGUUGGUUUUUAAUCUCAUCAGUUCUUAUGUGUUAAGAGGUAAACACCAAAUUAGUAAGAGAGGAACCUUGUGUAUAAAUGGUGAUGUUUUCAGAACAUAAAAGUAAUUUUGUAUAAAGAAUAAAUGAAAUUUAUAUAGCCAUCAACUUAACAA